rfam:Arabidopsis thaliana chloroplast DNA, complete genome, ecotype: Columbia.
UUGAGCCGGAUGAGAGGAAACUUUCAUGUCCGGUUUUGAGGGGGGAGAUCUUAUAGUGGACCCUAUCCCAAU